rnacentral:rRNA from 1 species
CGCCAGACUCCUACGGGAGGCAGCAGUGGGGAAUAUUGCACAAUGGGGGAGACCCUGAUGCAGCGACGCCGCGUGAGUGAAGAAGUAUUUCGGUAUGUAAAGCUCUAUCAGCAGGGAAGAAGUUGACGGUACCUGAGUAAGAAGCCCCGGCUAACUCCGUGCCAGCAGCCGCGGUAAUACGGAGGAUGCGAGCGUUAUCCGGAUUUAUUGGGUUUAAAGGGUGCGCAGGCGGAAGAUCAAGUCAGCGGUAAAAUUGAGAGGCUCACCCUCUGCGAGCCGUUGAAACUGGUUUUCUUGAGUGAGCGAGAAGUAUGCGGAAUGCGUGGUGUAGCGGUGAAAUGCAUAGAUAUCACGCAGAACUCCGAUUGCGAAGGCAGCGCACCGGCGCCCUACUGACGCUCAGGCACGAAAGCGUGGGUAUCGAACAGGAUUAGAUACCCCAGUA